rnacentral:rRNA from 1 species
CACGUAGGCGGGUCUUUAAGUCAGGGGUGAAAUCCUGGAGCUCAACUCCAGAACUGCCUUUGAUACUGAGGAUCUCGAGUUCGGGAGAGGUGAGUGGAACUGCGAGUGUAGAGGUGAAAUUCGUAGAUAUUCGCAAGAACACCAGUGGCGAAGGCGGCUCACUGGCCCGAUACUGACGCUGAGGUGCGAAAGCGUGGGAGCAACA